rnacentral:siRNA from 1 species
AGCUAAAGGUAGUUGGUCGGUA